rnacentral:rRNA from 1 species
GCUACGGGGUGCUGCAGUAGGGAAUUUUCGGCAAUGGGGGGAACCCUGACCGAGCAACGCCGCGUGAACGAAGAAGUUAUUCGUAAUGUAAAGUUCUUUUAACCGGGAAGAAAGAGAAAUUUGACGGUAACCGAAGAAUAAGCUCCGGCUAACUACGUGCCAGCAGCCGCGGUAAUCCGUAGGGAGCGAGCGUUAUCCGGAAUUAUUGGGCGUAAAGGGUGCGUAGAUGGCAUAGUAAGUCUUUUGUAAAAGUGCUGGGCUCAAACCAGUAGGGCAAAAGAUACUGCAAAGCUAGAGUAUGACAGAGGCAAGUGGAACUACAUGUGUAGCGGUAAAAGGCGUAAAGAUAUGUAAGAACACCAGGGGCGAAGGCGGCUUGCUGGGUCGAUACUGACAUUGAGGCACGAAAGCGUGGGGAGCAAACAGGAUUAGAUACCCCUGUAGUC